rnacentral:tRNA from 1 species
UAGCUGAGUAGGUAAAGCAAUUGCCUUGCAAGCAUGAAGACCUGGGUUUGGUUCCCAG